UCACGUGUAAAUCUCAUAGGGAUAGUCUCACUGAACUACUCCCCGAGACAGCCUGCGGACAGCACAAUGACUGUCCAGACAGCACACUGACCGUCCAGACAGCACACUGACUGUCCCUCUAGUGACCAACCUCCGGAGUGCACAGCUUGUGGGGAGCGACCCCUCCAAGCGCAGACAGGCUAUGUGAGCAUGAUCAACUCNAGGGAUAGUCUCACUGAACUACUCCCCGAGACCGCCUGCGGACAGCACACUGACCGUCCAGACAGCACACUGACUGUCCCUCUAGUGACCAACCUCCGGAGUGCACAGCUUGUGGGGAGCGACCCCUCCAAGCGCAGACAGGCUAUGUGAGCAUGAUCAACUCACGAACAGCAACAACCUACCCUCUAAGGGUAAUCUCAU
rnacentral:lncRNA from 1 species